rnacentral:rRNA from 1 species
GUGCCAGCCGCCGCAGUAAUACCGGCAGCCCAAGUGAUGGCCGCUGUUAUUGGGCCUAAAGCGUCCGUAGCUGGCCGCACAAGUCCGUCGGGAAAUCCACCCGCCCAACGGGUGGGCGUCCGGUAGAAACUGGCCGGCUUGGAACCGGAAGGCUCAGAGAGUACGUCCGGGGUAGGAGUGAAAUCCCGUAAUCCCGGACGGACUACCGAUGGCGAAAGCACUCUGAGAAGACGGCUUCGACAGUGAGGGACGAAAGCUGGGAUCUCGAACCGGAUUAGAUACCCGAGUAGUCC